rnacentral:sRNA from 2 species
CGCCCGUCAAACCACGAAAGUCAGCAAUACCCAAAGCCGGUGGCCUAACCGUAAGGAGGGAGCCGUUUAAGGUAGGGUUGAUGAUUGGGGUUAAGUCGUAACAAGGUAUCCCUACCGGAAGGUGGGGAUGGAUCACCUCCUUUCUAAGGAGAAAGGCAUUAAAAAUGCAACAACCAAAUUACUCAUCAUAUUCAGUUUUGAAAGACUAUAAUUAAUAUUUAGUGUUUCUACGGUGGCAGCAAAGCAAGUUAUAUAAAUAACGGGCCUAUAGCUCAGGUGGUUAGAGCGCACGCCUGAUAAGCGUGAGGUCGAUGGUUCAAGUCCAUUUAGGCCCACCAUUAUUUGGGGCUUUAGCUCAGCUGGGAGAGCGCCUGCCUUGCACGCAGGAGGUCAGCGGUUCGAUCCCGCUAAGCUCCACCAAAAGAGAUCUUUGAAAAGUAGAUAAAAUUCUGUUAAAAGAAAAGAAAUAUAGGUUAAGGAACAAAGGGCGCACAGUGAAUGCCUUGGCGCUAAGAGCCGAUGAAGGACGCAACUAACAGCGAAAUUCCAUGGGAAGCGGUAAGUACGCGAUGAUCCAUGGGUGUCCGAAUGGGGGAACCCACCAUGUGGAAGACAUGGUAUCCAGCAAUGGAAGGGAAACGCAGUGAACUGAAAUAUCUAAUUAGCUGCAGGAAAAGAAAGUAAAAACGAUUCUGCUAGUAGCGACGAGCGAACGCGGAGGAGCCAGAUACUAUAAUAGUUACAAAACUUUAUGUGAGAAGAAUAACUUGGGAAGGUUAACCAAAGAAGGUGAAAGUCCUGUAAUCGAAGCGUAAAGACUAGAGUAUCAGAAAGUACGGCGAGACACGAGAAAUCUUGUCGGAAGAUGCGAGGACCAUCUCGUAAGGCUAAAUACUACUUAGUGACCGAUAGUGAACCA